UACGAAGGGGGCUAGCGUUGCUCGGAAUGACUGGGCGUAAAGGGCGCGUAGGCGGACGGCUUUGUCGGGCGUGAAAUUCCAGGGCUUAACCUUGGGCUGCGUUCGAGACGGGUUGUCUAGAGUUUGGAAGAGGGUCGUGGAAUUCCCAGUGUAGAGGUGAAAAUUCGUAGAUAUUGGGAAGAACACCGGUGGCGAAGGCGGCGACCUGGUCCUUGA
rnacentral:rRNA from 1 species